GACGAACGCUGGCGGCGUGCUUAACACAUGCAAGUCGAACGGUGAAGCUCCAGCUUGCUGGAGUGGAUCAGUGGCGAACGGGUGAGUAACACGUGAGCAACCUGCCCCUGACUCUGGAAUAAGCGCUGGAAACGGCGUCUAAUACUGGAUACGAGAAGGGCCCGCAUGGGCACUUUCUGGAAAGUUUUUCGGUUGGGGAUGGGUUCGCGGCCUAUCAGCUUGUUGGUGAGGUAAUGGCACACCAAGGCGACGACGGGUAGCCGGCCUGAGAGGGCGACCGGCCACACUGGGACUGAGACACGGCCCAGACUCCUACGGGAGGCAGCAGUGGGGAAUAUUGCACAAUGGGCGAAAGCCUGAUGCAGCGACGCCGCGUGAGGGAUGACGGCCUUCGGGUUGUAAACCUCUUUCAGCAGGGAAGAAGCGAAAGUGACGGUACCUGCAGAAGAAGCACCGGCUAACUACGUG
rnacentral:rRNA from 1 species